UACGUAGGGUGCGAGCGUUGUCCGGAAUUAUUGGGCGUAAAGAGCUUGUAGGCGGUUUGUCGCGUCUGCCGUGAAAAUCCGGGGCUCAACCCCGGACCUGCAUCCGAUACUGCGUGACUAGAGGUAGGUAGGGGAGAUCGGAAUUCCUGGUGUAGCGGUGAAAUGCGCAGAUAUCAGGAGGAACACCGGUGGCGAAGGCGGAUCUCUGGGCCUUACCUGACGCUGAGGCGCGAAAGCGUGGGGAGCGAACAGG
rnacentral:rRNA from 1 species